rnacentral:tRNA from 566 species
AAAAUCCGUCGACUUUAUAAGUCGUGAGGGUUCAAGUCCCUCUAUCCCCA